rnacentral:rRNA from 1 species
GACGAACGCUGGCGGCGUGCUUAACACAUGCAAGUCGAACGGAAAGGCCCUGCUUUUGUGGGGUGCUCGAGUGGCGAACGGGUGAGUAACACGUGAGUAACCUGCCCUUGACUUUGGGAUAACUUCAGGAAACUGGGGCUAAUACCGGAUAGGAGCUCCUGCUGCAUGGUGGGGGUUGGAAAGUUUCGGCGGUUGGGGAUGGACUCGCGGCUUAUCAGCUUGUUGGUGGGGUAGUGGCUUACCAAGGCUUUGACGGGUAGCCGGCCUGAGAGGGUGACCGGCCACAUUGGGACUGAGAUAGGGACCAGACUCCUACGGGAGGCAGCAGUGGGGAAUAUUGCACAAUGGGCGGAAGCCUGAUGCAGCAACGCCGCGUGCGGGAUGACGGCCUUCGGGUUGUAAACAGCUUUCGCCUGUGACGAAGCGUGAGUGACGGUAAUGGGUAAAGAAGCACCGGCUAACUACGUG